GUAGGGAAUCUUCGGCAAUGGACGAAAGUCUGACCGAGCAACGCCGCGUGAGUGAAGAAGGUUUUCGGAUCGUAAAACUCUGUUGGUAGAGAAGAACGUUGGUGAGAGUGGAAAGCUCAUCAAGUGACGGUAACUACCCAGAAAGGGACGGCUAACUACGUGCCAGCAGCCGCGGUAAUACGUAGGUCCCGAGCGUUGUCCGGAUUUAUUGGGCGUAAAGCGAGCGCAGGUGGUUUAUUAAGUCUGGUGUAAAAGGCAGUGGCUCAACCAUUGUAUGCAUUGGAAACUGGUAGCCUGUAGUGCAGGAGAGGAGAGUGGAAUUCCAUGUGUAGCGGUGAAAUGCGUAGAUAUAUGGAGGAACACCGGUGGCGAAAGCGGCUCUAUGGCCUGUAACUGACACUGAGGCUCGAAAGCGUGGGGAGCAAACAGGAUUAGAAACCCCGGUAGUCC
rnacentral:rRNA from 1 species